CACAAGGGGUGAAGCCUGCGGUUCAAUUGGAGUCAACGCCGGAAAUCUUACCGGGGGCGACAGCAGAGUGAAGGUCAAGCUGAAGACUUUACCAGACAAGCUGAGAGGAGGUGCAUGGCGGUCGCCAGCUCGUGCCGUGAGGUGUCCUGUUAAGUCAGGUAACGAGCGAGAUCCCUAUCUCUAGUUGCUACUGCUGCUCUCAGGAGUAGUAGAGCUAAUUAGAGGGACCGCCGCCGCUGAGGCGGAGGAAGGAGGGGGCUACGGCAGGUCAGUAUGCCCCGAAACCCUCGGGCCACACGCGGGCUGCAAUGGUAAGGACAAUGGGUUCCUAUUCCGAAAGGAGGAGGCAAUCCCCAAACCUUACCCCAGUUAUGAUUGAGGGCUGAAACUCGCCCUCAUGAAUAUGGAAUCCCUAGUAACCGCGUGUCAUCAUCGCGCGGUGAAUACGUCCCUGCUCC
rnacentral:rRNA from 1 species